rnacentral:rRNA from 1 species
AGCGAACGUUAGCGGCGUGCCUAAUCAUCAUGCAAGUUCGCAUCGAGAAUAGGGCUUCGGCCCCGGUAAAGUGGUCUGUCACGGGUGAUGUUAACACGUGGGCAUACCUGCCCAACCCUGGGGGAUAACCUGCCGAAAGGGGUGCUAAUACCGUAUACGAGGGUUUCACUUCGGUGGAGUUCUGAAAGCAGGCCUCUGUAUUCAAGCUUGCGGGGAUGGAUGGACCCGCGGUCCAUCAGCUAGUUGGUGAGGUAACGGCUCACCAAGGCGACGACGGGUAGCUGGUCUGAGAGGAUGAUCAGCCACACUGGAACUGAGACACGGUCCAGACUCCUACGGGAGGCAGCAGUGGGGAAUCUUGCGCAAUGGGCGAAAGCCUGACGCAGCAACGCCGCGUGGGUGACGAAGGCCUUCGGGUUGUAAAGCCCUGUGGGGAGGAACGAACCGUCCGCGGGCCAAUACCCCCCACACCUGACGGUACCUCUUUAGCAAGCAUCGGCUAACUCUGUG